rnacentral:rRNA from 1 species
CCCUUAGAUGUUCUGGGCCGCACGCGUGCUACACUGAGUGGAUCAGCGGGUCAGGUUGCGCGAAAGUGUUUCCUAAUCUCGAAAUCCGCUCGUGAUGGGGAUUGACGGUUGCAAUUUUCCGUCAUGAACGAGGAAUACCUUGUAAGCGCGGGUCAUCAUCCCGCGCUGAAUACGUCCCUGCCCUUUGUACACACCGCCCGUCGCUCCUACCGAUUGAGUGGUCCGGUGAGGCUUUGGGAUCUGAGCAAAGAGAGCGUUUCGCUCGUUUUGCCCGGAAAACUCAGUCGAACCUUAUCAUUUAGAGGAAGGAGAAGUCGUAACA